AGUGAACGCUGGCGGUAGGCCUAACACAUGCAAGUCGAACGGCAGCACAGUAAGAGCUUGCUCUUACGGGUGGCGAGUGGCGGACGGGUGAGGAAUACAUCGGUAUCUACUUUUUCGUGGGGGAUAACGUAGGGAAACUUACGCUAAUACCGCAUACGACCUACGGGUGAAGGCAGGGGAUCUUCGGACCUUGCGCGAUUGAAUGAGCCGAUGUCGGAUUAGCUAGUUGGCGGGGUAAAGGCCCACCAAGGCGACGAUCCGUAGCUGGUCUGAGAGGAUGAUCAGCCACACUGGAACUGAGACACGGUCCAGACUCCUACGGGAGGCAGCAGUGGGGAAUAUUGGACAAUGGGCGCAAGCCUGAUCCAGCCAUACCGCGUGGGUGAAGAAGGCCUUCGGGUUGUAAAGCCCUUUUGUUGGGAAAGAAAAGCAGCAGGUUAAUACCCCGCUGUUCUGACGGUACCCAAAGAAUAAGCACCGGCUAACUUCGUG
rnacentral:rRNA from 1 species